GGUGCAAUAUUCUCUCAAUUUUAACGUUCACAUUUGGAAAAAUUUAGGGCACUUUUGUUAUUUUUCAAAACUCUUGAAUGCAUUGGAUUUCCAUAAAAGCACGAGGAUGUUUUUGUCAUCCAAUCCACACAAUUACAAGUCCAAAGCCAAAGAUCGUAGAAAAGAUUCCGGAGCAUCUCCUCAGGUUUAGGACGCAAACAAAAAAUCAAAUUGCAGAAUUUCCAAGUUGUGAGCACUGCAAUAGCAAAUGGAAACAGAGUUAGAGAGGACGAAACCGGUAGCUGCCUUCAUGGCCUUCGGCACCCAGGGCGAUGUUUACCCUAUUGCUGCAAUAGCUGCCGCUUUUGCUUCUGACCAGAAACACUACCAUGUUGUCCUUAUCACUCAUUCAGCUCACCAGAACUUGAGUUCUCACUUGGCUGGAAAACUAGUUGCAUUUUGUCCAAUUUCAUCACCACCCGUGGUAUCAACACCUCAGAAUCAUGAUGCAACAGGCUUGCAGGAGUUGAUGUUUAGGCUGAAGAAGAGGAAAAUCAACGCUGAACAUAGAAAAGAAUGCUAUUCUGCAGUGGAAAGAAUUUUUGGAAAUGGUCCAAGCUUGGAGGGUGAUUUCAUUGUGAUAAACUUUUUCGCAUUGGAGGGAUGGAGCCUUGCAGAACUUUUUCGUGUCCGUUGCAUAAUUGCCUCGCCUUAUGUUGUUCCCUAUAGUGCACCUUCAUCAUUUGAACACUGCUUCUUAAAAGAACAUCCGCUUUUGUAUAAAUAUCUCCAGGAAGCUCCCGUCAACAAGGUUUGUUGGAAAGAUGUGAUUCAUUGGAUGUGGCCACUUUUUUCUGAAAAUUGGGGGUUGUGGAGAAGUGAGGAAUUGAAUUUGAGUCCUUGCCCUUUUACGGAUCCAGUGACAGGCCUUCCCACGUGGUAUGAUCGGGUACCAUCUCCUAAACUAUUGUAUGGAUUUAGCAAAGAAGUUGUUGAGUGCCCUGAUUACUGGCCUUCAAGUGUUUGUGUUUGUGGCUUUUGGUUCCUCCCUGUUGAAUGGCAAUUUUCAUGUAAGAAGUGUGAAGAAAUUUCCAUUUUGUCAUCUGGGCAUCUGAGAACAAAUUGGAAAAUGUGUGCAUCUCAUUGUGAGUUUCAAUCUUUUCUGGAAGUUCCUAAAUCAGUGCAGAUUAUUUUUGUAGGACUAAGCUCUAUUGGAAGCAUGGGUUUCUUAAAGAAUCCUCAAGCAUUUCUUCUGGUUCUCCGAACUGUUCUGGAAACCGCAAGUUACAGAUUUAUCCUUUUCACAGCAGGAUAUGAACCUUUAGAUGCAGCAAUUCAAGGCAUUGCUGCUGGAACAUCUUCAGUUUUAAAUCAAAGGCAGGUCGUUGAAGAUGGAGUCUCUCUCUUUGAUGGAACACUCUUCUGCUUUUCUGGUAUGGUACCAUACAAUUGUCUGUUUCCAAGAUGUGUGGCUGCAAUUCAUCACGGAGGAAGUGGAUCCACUGCUGCCGCACUGUACGCAGGAAUCCCUCAGAUACUAUGUCCGUUCAUGUUGGAUCAGUUCUAUUGGGCUGAGAGGAUGUCUUGGCUUGGAGUGGCUCCAGAACCGCUGAAAAGGCACCUCUUGGUUCCAGAUAGCGUAUAUGACAGCGCCAUCAAAGCAGCUGCAGAAUUGCUAUCAGAAGCCAUUCGAUAUGCACUGUCUCCGGAAGUCAAAGCAUGUGCAAAAGAAAUUGCUGAAAGAAUAUCUGUUGAGGUCACUGCUUGUUAUUACUAUAAUAUCAUCUGUCCACUGCUGUAUUAGUAGUAAAGCAUUUGCUGCAUUUGCUUUCUAAUAGUUUUUAUUUCUGUUUCAUUGCAUCACUUGCGACUGGAUAUCUGAGAUGGAAUGAGUGAAGCAGUAAAAUUUCUCAAGGAAGAGAUGGGGUUGUAGUUACAACAAAGGAAUGUCAGCUUGUACAAAUUAUUCCAAUUUCUUCAAGGUAAUGUUAAAAUUUUAUUUUCUACUCCAGCAUGUGGGAUAGCCAAACUGAAGAAUUUAAACUCAUGGACAAGGACGGAUCUUCACUGCUUCGUCUCAAAAGUAGAUUUCUGUCUUAGUUGUCAAAACUUGUAGAUAAAUGCCCUACUGCUUCACUGUGAACAUUGCCACAAGAACCACUUUCCAUACAAUUGUUUCUUAAUAUCUUAAAGUCAUUUAAUAUUUCAUGGA